UACGUAGGCAGCAAGCGUUGUUCGGAGUUACUGGGCGUAAAGGGUGUGUAGGCGGUUGGAUAAGUGUGGUGUGAAAUCUCCCGGCUUAACUGGGAGGGUGCGCUACAAACUGUCUGACUAGAGUGUGGGAUGGGAAAGUGGAAUUCCUGGUGUAGCGGUGAAAUGCGUAGAUAUCGGGAGGAACACCUGUGGCGAAAGCGGCUCACUGGACCACAACUGACGCUGAGGCGCGAAAGCUAGGGGAGCAAACAGG
rnacentral:rRNA from 1 species